rnacentral:rRNA from 1 species
UACGGGGGGGGGCAAGCGUUGUUCGGAAUUACUGGGCGUAAAGGGCUGGUAGGCGGCCAACUAAGUCGGAUGUGAAAUCCCCAGGCUUAACCUGGGAACUGCAUCCGAUACUGGUCGGCUUGAAUCCGGGAGAGGGAUGCAGAAUUCCAGGUGUAGCGGUGAAAUGCGUAGAUAUCUGGAGGAACACCGGUGGCGAAGGCGGCAUCCUGGACCGGCAUUGACGCUGAGGCGCGAAAGCUAGGGGAGCAAACGGG